rnacentral:rRNA from 1 species
UACGUAGGGGGCGAGCGUUGUCCGGAUUUAUUGGGCGUAAAGAGCUCGUAGGCGGUUCAGUAAGUCAGAUGUGAAAACUCAGGGCUCAACCCUGAGCCUGCAUUUGAUACUGCUGUGACUAGAGGCUGGUAGGGGAUCACGGAAUUCCUGGUGUAGCGGUGGAAUGCGCAGAUAUCAGGAGGAACACCGAUGGCGAAGGCAGUGAUCUGGGCCAGUUCUGACGCUGAGGAGCGAAAGCGUGGGUAGCAAACAGG